AGUGUUUUAGUAAAGAAACAGAAAUGCCUUUAUCUGAUGCAGCAUGUGUAGGGGAAGAUUCAAUCUCUAAAUGUCAUACACGGAUACAUUGUUGAGUACCUGGUCAUGAAGAGUGACUGUUUGGAAUAAGGAUGAUCUGAGAUGCCUUCAGUCAGUUGGAGUAGUCAAGUCUUACUCCUCUUUUUCUACAUAUAUUGGAUUUUGCUUCCCUCCUUUUUCUGCAUCAAGUUUGACAGUCUUGGAUCUCUGACUGUUGUGCCACCUGUUCCCUUCCUUAUGGGCUCCAACUUGACGCUGUACUGUCACAUCAACAAA